rnacentral:rRNA from 1 species
ACGCACGCUGGCGGCGUGCUUCACCCCUGCCGGGCGAACGGAAAGGCCCUGCUUUUGUGGGGUGCUCGAGUGGCGAACGGGGGAGGAACACGUGAGUAACCUGCCCUUGACUUUGGGAUAACUUCAGGAAACUGGGGCUAAUACCGGAUAGGAGCUCCUGCUGCAUGGUGGGGGUUGGAAAGUUUCGGCGGUUGGGGAUGGACUCGCGGCUUAUCGGCUUGUUGGUGGGGUAGGGGCUUACCAAGGCUUUGACGGGUAGCCGGCCUGAGAGGGUGACCGGCCACAUUGGGACUGAGAUACGGCCCAGACUCCUACGGGAGGCAGCAGUGGGGAAUAUUGCACAAUGGGCGGAAGCCUGAUGCAGCAACGCCGCGUGCGGGAUGACGGCCUUCGGGUUGUAAACCGCUUUCGCCUGUGACGAAGCGUGAGUGACGGUAAUGGGUAAAGAAGCACCGGCUAACUACGUG